rnacentral:rRNA from 1 species
AUUGAACGCUGGCGGCAGGCCUAACACAUGCAAGUCGAGCGGAGCGGCGGACGGGUGAGUAAUGCCUAGGAAUCUGCCUGGUAGUGGGGGAUAACGUCCGGAAACGGGCGCUAAUACCGCAUACUAUCAGAUGAGCCUAGGUCGGAUUAGCUAGUUGGUGGGGUAAAGGCCUACCAAGGCGACGAUCCGUCACUGGUCUGCGAGGAUGCCCAGCCACACUGUAACUGAGACACGGUCCAGACUCCUACGGGAGGCAGCAGGGGGGAAGAUUGCACAAUGGGCGCAAGCCUAAGUAAGCCAUGCCGCGUGUAUGAAGAAGGCCUUCGGGUUGUAAAGUACUUUCAGCGGGGAGGCGUUACCCGCAGAAGAAGCACCGGCUAACUCCGUGCCAGCAGCCGCGGUAAUUC